UGAAUACGAGACGCUAAGGCGUCGAAGUAGUGUAUGUCAUACUUCCAAGAAAAGCUUGCACUGUCAUAGAUAAAAAACGCCUGUACCAUAACCGACACAGGUGGGUAGGUAGAGUAUACUAAGGGGCGCGAGAUAACUCUCUCUAAGGAACUCGGCAAAAUAACUCCGUAACUUCGGGAGAAGGAGUGCCUUAUUCGUAAGGUUGCAAUAACAAGAUCCAAGCAACUGUUUAUCAAAAACACAGGUCUCCGCUAAGUCGUAAGACGAUGUAUGGGGGCUGACGCCUGCCCAGUGCCAGAAGGUUAAAGAAGUUGGUUAGCAAUUGCGAAGCUGAUAACUGAAGCCCUGGUGAACGGCGGCCGUAACGAUAACGGUCCUAAGGUAGCGAAAUUCCUUGUCGGGUAAGUUCCGACCCGCACGAAAGGCGUAAUGAUUUGGAUACUGUCUCGGAGAGGGGCUCGGUGAAAUAGACUUGUCUGUGAAGAUGCGGACUACCUGCACCAGGACAGAAAGACCCUAUGAAGCUUUACUGUAACUUGAAAUUGAAAUUGGACUUUAUUCGCGCAGUAUAGGUGGGAGGCGUUGAUUAUAAUCUUGUGGGAUUAUUGGAGCCAUCAGUGAGAUACCACUCUUGUAAUGUUAGAUUUCUAACUUUGAAUCAUUAUCUGGUCAAGAACAGUUUCAGGCGGGCAGUUUGACUGGGGCGGUCGCCUCCUAAACGGUAACGGGGGCGUACAAAGGUUUCCUCUGAACGGUUAGAAAUCGUAUCUAGAGUGUAAAGGCAUAAGGAAGCUUGACUGUGAGACCUACAAGUCGAGCAGGGACGAAAGUCGGUCUUAGUGAUCUGACGGUACUGAGUGGAAAGGCCGUCACUCAACGGAUAAAAGUUACUCUAGGAUAACAGGCUGAUCUCCCCCAAGAGUUCACAUCGACGGGGAGGUUUGGCACCUCGAUGUCGGCUCAUCGCAUCCUGGGGCGGUAGUACGUCCCAAGGGUUGGGCUGUUCGCCCAUGAAAGCGGUACGCGAGCUGGGUUCAGAACGUCGUGAGACAGUUCGGUCCAUAUCCGGUGUAGGCGUUAGAAUAUUGAGAGGAGCCUUCUUUAGUACGAGAGGACCGAGAAGGACAUACCUCUGGUGUACCAGUUAUCGUGCCAACGGUAAACGCUGGGUAGCUAUGUAUGGAGUGGAUAACCGCUGAAAGCAUCUAAGUGGGAAGCCCACCUCAAGAUAAGUAUUCUCAUG
rnacentral:rRNA from 1 species